GGGAAUGGAAAUGAGUGAACUUCUAAGGUUUCAAAAAAAGCCUCCUCAGCGUGGGGAGCCUGCAACUGCAUCUCUUUGUUGUGCAAGCUGGUGCUGCGUGGGUCAGCUGUGGACAAAUGUGCUCUGACUUGCACUGGGAGCCAGCCCUCAGCCUGGAGCACCUGCUGUUGGGCUGAGGGGAGGCAGAGUAGGGGCUGCACUACUUUGGAAAGUUGAUUUUUGUGUUUAGGAGACAGCUCUGGAGAUGCCACUGCUGUUAUGGGCAGCAAAAGCAGGUACUUCCUUCACCAGUUUACAGCAUAAGGGAGAUUUUUUUUUUUUCCUUUAUUAAGACCACAAUAAAAACUCCACAUUACAAUCCUGAAUUGAAUGUAGCCUAUUCCCUCAGUCCUGCUCUUGCAGCCUUACAGGUGCAGGCCAAAUGGAGUUAAAAGUCAGACACUGUGUCUGAAACCCCCCAAGGCAGGCUGACCACUGGGACAGGAUGGGGUAAAAGCCUGUGGAGCUUUGUGUCCCUUUUGUGAGCAAUGGGACAGUCAGGUCUGCUUGAUUUGAGUCACUGACUUCAAUUCCUGUGAAGGGGAACGUGCCAGGGCACUCUGCAGUGUCUGUUUUAGCAUGGUGGCCAUUAGAGGUGUGCUUUGAUACUAGUGCUGUGGUUCCCCAUCCUGUGAUCCCCCCUGCUCAGCUGAAAUAGCUUUGGCUUGCCUGGAGCCACCCAGUUUUCCUGCAGCUUUGCUCUCAGAGGGUUCCUGGGCAGACCCCCAGCCUGUCUGGAGGAGCUGCUGAAGCCCUGGAUCCUGUGGAAGACUCCAGAGCUCACAGGGAGCAGGGAGGUGAAACUGGGCAAACACAGAGGGGAAGAAAAGCACUGCACUUACAUGGCUGAGGUCAGGGAAGGGCAGCAGGAAUAAAAACUCAUCAAAUUUAGUCCUACACAACCUGAGUGAGCAGCACAUUGCAAAACUCACUCCACUCAAACAAAUGAUCCACCUAAGCAGCUGCAACCAGAAAGGCCAUUUUCUAUUCCUAACUGCUGUACCUAAGCAUCACUUUAGAAUGUAAAGUACUGAUUGCAGGGCUUGAAAGCUCUCACAGGGAGAUGAUUGUUGUGAUUUGUACAGUCAGUUCAGGAACACGGUGUUCCCCCAACACCACUGCUCCAGCUCCUCCAGGUAAUGGCAAGAGAAGCCAUAUUUUUCUUUUGUGUCAUUCAAGAGACAAAAGAAUGUCCUGUGCCAGGGAGGAACAUAAGGAAACAAACCCAGCCAGAUGUUCACUGAAGUAUAACCUGCCUUCAAACCAGACAAGCCUUUAGUUUAACUCUACCUGCAAAACAGCUAGAGAAGAGCACUGACCAGACACUCCUGGCUGACUCCCCCAAGCCCACGAGCUGCUGGUCUGUCCCUGUUCCCAGGGUUUCCAUCAUUCCAUCCCUGAAAUACCAGGAGCCACUGGCAGUGUUUAAGAAGCAUUUGAGCUGGAUAUCCAAAUGCAAAGCUAGUGGCUGCUGAUGGACUCCUGAGCACUGUGAGUGUUUGUGGGGGGAGCUGAAGAGCUUCACUCAGAAAUAGCUCUUCCUUGGAAAGCUGGAGGGCUGAAUCACAGUGUGUUGGCUCAGGUUUUAGCAGACGAGCCAUCACAUCUGCCUCCCUGUAGGCGAGGAGUCGUCACUGGCAGCAGGAUUGGCAGCCAGGCUCUGUCCUUUGGAGAGCAGAUAACCAUGGGGAAGGUGCAGGCUCAGGUGAGCAGGGUCAGGCUGGGGCUUGGUGAGGUGGGCUGGCAGCUCUGGAGCAGGAGGGCUCUGCUUGGCCUGCCCUGCUCCCCCUGUCCCUCUCUGUCCACAGAACAUGCCCCCAAGUUGAACUUUGGGGACUAAAUAAUAAUUUUGCUCAGAGGCAUUAACCACUCCUCUGCUGCCUGGGAGGCUGAGACAAGCAGAGCCAGCCCUGAGCAAAUCCAGGGCUGGUGCUGUCAUGAGACAACUGAAAAUACAAAUGAGAUGGGCAAGUAGGAGCACCAGGGAAAAAUGGGGAAACCUGGGAGGGGACAAGACAGCUCCUGAGCUGAGAUACCUGAAACUGAAAGCACCUGAGAGACACCCCUGGCUUGGCAGGCUCUGGGGAGCCUGCAGAGUCCACCUGAGCUACAGAAAUGCAAAUUUACACAGAGGUUUUCUUCCUAGAACAGACUGUGAGUCCUUAAAUACAUGUCACUCCUGGUUCCCAGCAGUCCAGAGGAAGUCAUGGGGGAAAAGGGAUGAGGGAACUAAUAGAAAGUUUUUGGAGCUAGCAAAAAAACAAAUUGCUGAUAUGGAUUUUAAAAUCUUUCAGAGACAUGGAAUUUUUGGAGCUACAGUUUUGGACUCAGUACCCCCCUAUGCUGCUGUAAUGUUAAUUUUCAAGCCUCCAGUCCAGGUUCAGGUAUGGGCACAGUUGCAAGAGAAGUAGAUGGGGAGUUCCUGAACCAACUGGUUGCUGCCAUGAGUCAGGGGAAUGACCUUGCAGCAGGCGGCUCGCGGUGCCGCUCUCGGAGCCGUGCCAGGAUAAACGGCACUGGCAUCUCUGAGUGCUGGUGGAACCAUUUUGUGACAUUCCAGCUUGGCCUUUUCCACUGCUGCCUUUGCACCCAAAUUGUCUGGGUGGGUGGGAAUGGGAUAAUUCCCUUUUUUCCUCACAGCCUGGGCUUGGGACUGUCUAUAUACAGAGAUAGAGAGGUUAUGGGCAACUCCUCUGUCUAGCUACAUGCUUGUCCAUUAACAUCAGCAUUACAGAUAUUUAACCAAAUUAAAUCUUACUCUCCCCCCCCAGCCAUACCCCUAUUAAACUGUAAGAAAACACCAUGAUAAAGUUUUGACAAUCCUACGCAGCAGCACUGAAUUUUCUGGAUAGGUCUGGGAGAGAUUUGUCAGAGGAGAGAGGGUAGAACACUUGGCAUUUAGACAUUUUAAUGAAUGUUCCCAAAUAAGAAAAGAAAAACAUUUGCUUGUAGACUUUAAGCUUCUCACAGCAUCAGAAAGCUCCUGACACAGAGCCCAGUGCUGUAUUUGUAUAACAUGGAAAUGAACAGCAGCAGUGCUGCAGGCUCCGAGCCUGCUCUGCGAGCAGCAGAAUGGCCAGGGGUGCUGGGCUCACCCCAAUUCCUUCACUUUUGGGGGGGGUCUGAUACCCCUGACCCUUCAGGUGGGCUUUGAACUCUAACACCAGCACGAAAUGAAUGUUUCUAACCAUAUUCAAGCUUGUUCCCCCAUCAGCUCCACUCCCUAAAGCACUGACGGGAACCAACAGCAAAAUUCGUCUGCGUCACAGAUGUAACAUGACCAUCGGCAAAACAAGUGCAGGAGGAGAUCAUGGCUGGCUGUCCCUCACAGAGCCUUCCCUCACUAGCAGACAAGGAGAGGUAAUGCUUUUAAAUUUCUAUCAUGGGCUUGUGAAAUGCUGUCCUUCCCUCCCCGAACCCCGCGGUCCCCGAGCGGCCGCAGCGCCCGAGCAAACUGCGUGUGCUUUGUCGGCGUGGGACCGAACGCUGCGUCACGCUGCUGCACCAAGGCCCAGGCAGAGCAAACCCCACUCCCCAGAGCAGGGAAACCCAGAGAGAGGAAAAUGAAUCAGCUGUCACACACACAAGUGUCAGAGGGAGGGAGAAAUCACAGCUUUCCCCAGUCCUUUUGUGGCACUGUGCAGAGAGCGAUCACGGAGCAGUUACCCAGGUACAGCUCAUGGUGACAGUGCCACCCCUGUGCACACAGUCACUGCUGUCCUACAGAAAUAUGCCAUGUCCCCUUCUUAGCCUUGUUUCCUGCCAGUCCAACAGAUUUACCUGCUGACAGUAACCUCAAUUCCUGAGUAAUGAGAUUUACAGCUGAAGUUUAACAUUGAAAUAACUCCUCUUUUAUCCGUCUCCUUACCCUCCCUGCUUUAGGCACAGUUAAACCAUCGCUGGGGCCAAAACAUGGUGGCAAAAGGAUUUAAACCAAAUACACUGAACACACUCAGCAGCCAGUGGCACCUCCUUGAAAGCCAUGAAACAGCACUAGCUUUACAAAGCAAGGGCUCCUCCACCCCACAGCCAUGAUGGGGAGAACCACAAAGAGCUGUCCACGCAACCAACGCUCAGGAAAACAGACACAGCCCACCCAUCAUCCACACAACCCAGCAUCACAACAGUGCCUUAGUCCAGCUCCUGGCCGUGCAGAACCCCUCCCCAGCUGUCUGGGGCUGUUCUCCUGUGUGCCAGUGUGUGUGUGUAUUUAUGCCUGUGUGUCUGGCUGCAGGGACCCCCGUUGUGGCUGCUGUUGCUGUUGUUGCCCUGCUCUGCGGAUCUGGCGCUGCGGGAGGCAAGGAGGCUCCGAGGGAGCUACAGCCAGCGAAGGCUCGGUGCAAUCCCUGCCCCAAGCUGCCACAGUGCUGCCAACACUCCAGCACUUCACAAGGGAGAAGGAAGCAAGGAGAAAAGCCCUGAACCCCAGUACUUUCCCCUGCACCGUGAGCUGCAGCUCUGACACGUCAUCAUCACGACUGGACGGCGAAAUGAGGCCUGGGAGCACCCAUGGGUGAAGGGCUGCACCCAGCACACCGAGCAGGGACCAGCUCCUGUCCUGCCUGCUGCCCAGGGACACUGGCACCCCGGGAUCCCAGCGUCUGAAGAGCCUGAGCUAUUUUGGGAUUUGUCUGUACUACACUGAAAAUGACACCUGUUACGCACAGACACAAAUGAGAAAAAUUACAAGCGCCCGGUUCCUCUGCCAGGAUCCUGCAGAAACGGGGGUUCCCGGCUGCAGGAGGCGCUGAAUGGAGCGGGGCUCGGUGCCCGGGUGGGCGCAGCGGGGCCGGGGGCGCUCGGUGCCCGUCCUUGCACUGCCCGGGGGCUCGGAGGGCGGCAGUGACAGUGACAGCGGCAGUGACAGCGGCAGUGACAGUGACAGCAGUGUCCCCUCCUGCUGCGGCUCCGGCUCAGCCCCGCCGCCUGUGCCAAUCUGCUCUGCCGCUGACCCCGAGCCCUGGCACCUCCUCCUGCCCGGCCCAUGCCAAGCUCUGCCAGAAAUCCCGGCUGCUUUCAUUUCCUCCCGGACAGACCCGCACUCAUCAGCAGCCUUGCAAAAUGUUCAGUGUGAAAUAAACUGGUUUAAACCUC